UUAGGUACUGACAGAAUAGUGCCUGGAGAUGAAUCUUCGGAGGAGUCGAAACAAUAAAAUCGUUGCCGAGAAAAGCGAGCAUAGCAGCCAGUACCGCAAACCGACACAGGUAGACGGGAUGAGUAUUCUAAGGCGCUCGGGUGAGCCGUGGAGAAGGAACUAGGCAAAUUAACGCUGUAACUUCGGGAUAAGGCGUACCAUAGCGAUAUGGUCUCAGUAAAAUGAUUCAACCAACUGUUUAACAAAAACACAGGGCCCUGCAAAAUCGAAAGAUGACGUAUAGAGCCUGAAACCUGCCCGGUGCCGGAAGGUUAAGGAAGGAUGUUCGGAGCAAUCCAAAGCUUCUGACUGAAGCCCCGGUAAACGGCGGCCGUAACGAUAACGGUCCUAAGGUAGCGAAAUUCCUUGUCGGGUAAGUUCCGACCUGCACGAAUGGUCUAAUGAGUUGAAUACUGUCUCCUCCACGAGCCCGGUGAAAUUGUAGUAUCGGUGAAGAUGCCGGUUACCCGCCACGGGACGGAAAGACCCCGUGAACCUUCACUACAACUUUGCAUUGUUUUUGAGUAACAAAUGUGUAGGAUAGUUGGGAGACUAUGAGCCAGCCUCGCCAGGGGUUGGGGAGUCAACGUUGAAAUACCAACCUUUUGUUACUUAGGACCUAACCCUGAAAUAGGGGACAUUGCAUGGUGGGUAGUUUGACUGGGGUGGUCGCCUCCUAAAAAGUAACGGAGGCUUGCAAAGGUACCUUCAGUACGGUUGGUAAUCGUACAUAGAGCGCAUUAGUAGAAGGGUGCUUGACUGUGAGACAAACAGGUCGAUCAGGAGCGAAAGCUGGCUAAAGUGAUCCGGCGGUUCUGCAUGGAAGGGCCGUCGCUCAAAGGAUAAAAGGUACUCCGGGGAUAACAGGCUGAUCUUACCCAAGAGCUCAUAUCGACGGUAAGGUUUGGCACCUCGAUGUCGGUUCGUCACAUCCUGGGGCUGGAGAAGGUCCCAAGGGUUCGGCUGUUCGCCGAUUAAAGUGGCACGUGAACUGGGUUCAGAACGUCGCAAGACAGUUCGGUCCCUAUCUGUGGUGGGCGUUAGGAAAUUGCGGGGACGUGACCUUAGUACGAGAGGACCGGGUCGCAUGUACCGCUGGUGAAUCAGUUAUGCCGCUAGGUGUAUUGCUGAGUAGCUACGUACAGUCAGGAUAAACGCUGAAAGCAUCUAAGCGUGAAACCUUCCUCAAGAUGAGUUUCCUUUUAAGGGUUGUCAAAGACUAUGACGUUGAUAGGCUACAGAUGUAAAGUUGGUAACAGCAAAGUCGAGUAGUACUAAUUACCCGUAAGC
rnacentral:rRNA from 1 species